rnacentral:rRNA from 1 species
GACGAACCGAGCGAGCGUUGUUCGGAAUCACUGGGCUUAAAGGGCGCGUAGGCGGGCUGUCAAGUCUGGGGUGAAAUCCCACGGCUCAACCGUGGAACUGCCUUAGAUACUGACGGCCUCGAGGGAGAUAGGGGCGAGCGGAACUGUGAGUGGAGCGGUGAAAUGCGUUGAUAUUCACAGGAACUCCGGUGGCGAAGGCGGCUCGCUGGAUCUUUUCUGACGCUGAGGCGCGAAAGCUAGGGGAGCAAACGGG